UUAAUGUAUGUAUUGUGAAUAUCUUUAUUAAAAUAUGACAAUAAACCCGUCUGUGCCCUGUUAAUUUAAUAACUAAUUGUGAAAUCCCAGGAAAAUUCAGUUGCUUUCAGAAUAAAUUGGUCAGUUUGCUAAUUCACAGAAUGGUGAAUUAAUACAGUAUCCCCUAGUCUGUUUACCAGUAAGUCCUCAGUAGUUACUGAAUAACUGUCCCUUAGGGCAGUUAUUCAGUAACUAAUAUGUGGAGAGACAAAGCCAAACAGAGACACAGGAAUGAACAUCCGACUCCAUGUGUUAGGUAAAGGUUUUAUAUAAUAGGAUACAUGAGGAACUAGGCUAUGUUAACGUAUUCAAUCAGAAUACUAUCAUCUUACAGAAGGAUCAUUUAUACACUGGGAGUCCUCAGUCCACAUAACCAGGAACCAUGAAAAGAGAAACGCAUUUCCAAAGUCCUUUUUAAAACUUAAUCCCAAAAAACGGACUUCUAAAGCGAGAUGCAACAGUCCACUGGAGAGUUUAGUGCAGUCUGUGUUUGUCGAUUUUCUUGACAUCAUUUAAAACCGAUGAGUAACCUCGUUGCCCAAGACCAACAUGCUAUGAAGGCGUUCCUCCUCUGCCUGGUAGAAUCAUCUCAUUCAGGUCUGUAGUCUGUGGUGGACUCUGGUUCCUCAGGGCUGUAGUCUGGUCGAGCUCUGGUUCCUCAGGGCUGUAGUCUGUGGUGGACUCUGGUUCCUCAGGUCUGUGGUCUGUGGUGAGCUCUGGUUCCUCAGGUCUGUAGUCUGUGGUGGACUCUGGUUCCUCAGGGCUGUAGUCUGGUCGAGCUCUGGUUCCUCUGGUCUGUAGUCUGGUUGAGCUCUGGUUCCUCAGGUCUGUGGUCUGUGGUGGACUCUGGUUCCUCAGGUCUGUAGUCUGUGGUGGACUCUGGUUCCUCAGGUCUGUAGUCUGUGGUGGACUCUGGUUCCUCAGGUCUGUGGUGGACUCUGGUUCCUCAGGUCUGUAGUCUGUGGUGGACUCUGGUUCCUCAGGUCUGUAGUCUGGUCGAGCUCUGGUUCUCAGGUCUGUAGUCUGUGGUUGAGCUCUGGUUCCUCAGGUGGCUGACCUCAGGUCAUUGUCAGAGUCUCAAGCUGCUCCUGUUAUCCAGUCGGGGAUCCUGCUUAUAAAAAAUAACCGUCCAACACAAGAUUUGCAUAAUAGGAGAUCUUAGCAAGUUAAAGUUGUUUGUUGAGUUUAUUCACUUUUCAAAACGUCUGACUCUUUUUAAAAGAAUGGUCCCUUCGCUGACUUAAAACGGACCUGGGAACCGAUCAACCCUGUUUAAUACAUUUUUAAGACUUUCAACAAAACAUUCGGCAAUAAUCUCUUCAUGAAAAAAACAAACCAACAGUCGACCGCAUUAGUGUGCAAGAAGAACUCUCUAGAAGCAGGACAUCAAAACAAGCUGUUGGAUCGAGUGAAUGGACCGUUCUGACAUCAGGGAGGUUUUCCUCCGGAUCUGUUCGACAUGGCUUCUGAAGUCCACUCAGACGAAGAGCAGGCCCUCUUCAGUCGGGGGGCAUGGUGGGUGGAGGUCGCCUGGAGGGGGCUUCUUUCGGUGAGCCGUGGUGGAGCGGGGAGCUGUCCUGGGGUGUAUGGCUUGAUUCCAAAGAACGAGUUAUUGGUUCCGUUUGAAAGAAAGACGUUACAGCGAGGUGGAGCAGACAUGAGGCACUGAGCAUUGUUCGAGGGUCGUGGGGCUAUGUUUGGACUUCCUGCUUUUCCUCUUCCUCCUGAAGUCCUAAUCUGAUGAGGAUGAGGAGGGUGUGCAGGAACACACGUCAGUCUGGGGCUGAGAACCAACGGCAUGAGCAAACAAUAGUUAGGGGUUAACGGUCAGACAGCUCUGAGGACAGGGUCCCUGGGGGCUGCUGGGGCUUAGUGUCUUUGAGGGGGGGAGACAUCGUCAUCCAGAGAGCGUAAAAAGCCAGCCAUGUCUCAAAAACACUUGUGGUGUUCAUCCUUCACGGACGUCGACAACGUGGAAAUGAUUUGUCUCCUCUUGGUAAAAAGUGCACUCUGCAGCAAUCAGAUCACCGGCGAGCGCCCAGACGGUCUGGGAGCGUGGGGGGGGGGGUCCUCCAUUGGAUCUGCCUCCUGGAGUGGUUCAACGGCGUGUCUCAUGGCUUGCAUUACGUCUGAAUUGCUUUCCGCCUCCCCCUUCAGACAGGAGUGUUGGAGGAGUCUCGCCUCCGAGGCCCGAGAACCAGAUCCCACCGGCUCAUCGAGUUAAACCUCGGCCUUAUCAGAUCUUCAGACAGACGUGGGGCGGAGGUGUAGGGUGGGGCUCCGCCUCCCCUCCUCCGGGACUGACGGACAGACGUACCGACGGACCGACGGACAGACGGACCGACGGACCGACGGACCGACGGACAGACGGACAGACGGACCGACGGACCGACGACCGACGGACCGAC
ensembl:lncRNA